rnacentral:lncRNA from 1 species
CUUGGAGGAAGGGGCAAUGUGUGAGCCCUUAAGUGUUGGUGUUCAUGCUUGUCGUCGGGCUAAUGUCUGUCCAGAAACAAAUGUUUUGGUCAUGGGAGCAGGACCUAUCGGACUUGUUACAGUGUUGGCUGCUCGUGCCUUUGAAGCAUCUAGAAUUGUCGUGGCGGAUGUGAAUGACCACCGUUUAUCUGUUGCAAAGGCUCUUGGUGCACAUGAGAUUGUCAAAGUUUCCACAAAUAUCGAGGUACAUGACGCUGUUAGAUGUUCGGGGUUUGUAAGGUGACAUUAACCCUUUUUUUAAUGAGUUUAUGUAAAUUAUUUUGAAGGAGGUUGCUGAAGAAGUGGCUAAGAUAAAAGAAGCUAUGGGAACUCGAGUGGAUGUAAGCUUUGAUUGUGCAGGGUUUAAUAAAACCAUGGCGACAGCUCUGAGUGCUACUGGUUCCGGUGGCAAAGUUUGCCUUGUGGGAAUGGGCCAGAGAGAGUUGACUCUCCCACUCACGUCAGCUACUGCCAGGUAUAAAUUGAUUAAUUCAUUUGUUCAGUUUGUAAACCUAUUUGUAUCGUAUUUGGUAUGACAUCUGUAAUAGAGGCAUGAGACAUGACUCACUUGUGAUACGUAUUAUUUGUAUUAUUUAUACUUUCAUGAUUUUAAUACAGAGAGGUCGAUGUGAUUGGAAUUUUCCGAUACAAGAACACAUGGCCCUUGUGCCUUGAAUUGUUGAGAAGUGGUAAGGUUGAUGUGAAGCCCCUGAUAACACAUCGUUUUGGAUUCUCCCAAACGGAAGUGGAAAAAGCAUUUGAAACCAGUGCUGGUGGAGCCAAUGCCAUUAAGGUCAUGUUUAAUCUGUAAAAUUGGCUCAAGGAAAUGGAGCCAAUCUUUAGUGAAAUUUUUGUUGUGCUUUGUUUGCCUAAUAAUUGGGGUUUGUGGUUGGGUGUUGUACUUAUAAUGAGCCCAUUUUAAACCCAUAUAGUCGGGUACAAGUUUCUGUUGUAAAAAAAACAACUAUUGAAAGGAACAAGGAGAUUGACCCCCAAAAAAACAAAGGAACAUGUGAUCCCAAACCAAAGCACACAAAUACAACCAAAUCUUCACCAAGAAAACACCUAAUACCAUCACGAGACUUAUUGAAGGUAGAGAGACGCAACUAAAGGCAAGAACCCUAAUUAGAUUAUCUAUAUCCCACCCUAUUGCAGUCAACAGAAAUACAUGGUGUAUAGAACAAUUAAUUAUUUUUUUUAGCUUAUCACACGCAAGUCACACUUGAUCAUUUAAAUAAAAUGUUCCAUUCAAAUUCAACACAUAUGUAUAGAUAUAGUCCCUUAAGGGGUAUUUUCUCAAAGGUGGCCUUAAAAGCGAAGAAAAUAUAGAACAAUUUUGAGUAGAGCAGUUUUUUUUUUUAAUUUUUCAAAUUAGCGAUAAUUGUAUUCAAUAAUUGGUUACACAGACCAAAUACACAUAACGGGUUAAUAUAUAAAGAUGGAUGCACAAUAAUCACAAAGGGUUAAUCCAGAGAUUGGAGGAUACACCAGCAACAUCGCACAUCUUAUAUCUCUACUAAUAACCCUAAAAGAUCAAAUACAUUUCAACGUAAUAGUCACAUGCAUGAGUAGAGUAGAGAAGUUUUUAUCCAUGAAGACUAUAGUAAAAUAAAGAAUUGAAUACAUUGACAAUGAAUUAUUACAUACUUCGGAUACAAGUCUGUUUGCUUGUCCAGGGAAAGAAGUGGAGAGCUAAUUAAGCAGCUAAGGAAUUUGAUCCAGACAAAAAUCAAAGCAAAUGAAAAUGUGCUGAAAACAAAAGGCUUCAUUGUUGGAAAUUUAAUAUUAUAAUAUUUAAUUUAGUACAAGUGUCGUGUUUUAGCCAAGUAUUGCAACUUUCAGCAAUUCAAACAAAACGCGCUGCUUGGUAUUUAGAGAAUUUCAGAUGUAAUUAUAUCGCAUCCAUUGUAAACAGCCACAUUGUUUCAAACGUGAUGUUUGAGUUCUUUAUAAACCCAUGGGCGUGGCCCUCUUCUUUACAGUAGUAGGAGUUUUCCCAACUCAAGCCAAAUCUUCUUUCCGGUCUAGUUAAAAGAGUGCAAAUAUAUAAUUGGUUCGUGAGAGCUUUAAAGUUGUACAAGAAAAUCUGUCUUUAGGUCAAAUUACAUUAACGUAUUUGAUACACAUCAAUUUCUCCCGAAGCCACUUUUGGUGGGGCUUUUGACCCUUGGGCUACUCCGAAGGACCUAAGAAGUUUGAGAAAUACAAAGUCAAAGAUGAAAGGGUCAGCACACAUAUUGCCUAGUUAUUUAUAUAAAUAUGAUGUUUUAUUAUGUUAUUUAUAUAAAUAUGAUGAAUCUAUAGAGAAUGUAAUUACUAAUCUAAUGAUUGUGUGGGCCGACUCGCAAUUUUUUUUAUUUAUCCAAACGAUAUUAGUAACGGAGAAUUCGAACACAAGUGCAGGAAUUGUUCCAUUUGAACUACAAAUUCUUUAUUAUCAACUUACAUUAUUGACUUUCAUGUGUUUUGUUGACUUUCAUGUGUUUCGUUGUUCAACGAGGCGUAUGCUUGCAAAUUGGUGGCAGUUGCAUUGGGGACAUCAUUAUCCCAAAGCAAACUUUUACCGUGGCCUUUUUUUAUAGACUCCUUUUUUUUCUUUUAAUUUUUUUUUCCCUGUCAAGAUAAUGGAGACUUCUAUUAUAUUUAAUGUCAUGAGGACCAAAGCAAGCACCAAUCUCAAACGCAUUGCAGCUCUUCCUUCCAUUGAAAAAUCUGAAGGAAAAAAAAAACACACAAAAGUUUAUGUUAUGUUAUGUGACAGAAUAUUGAGAGGCUUUGUCUUGAUGGGUUUUGGUUGCUGUGUAAAUGGACUGCCAUAUGUAGAGGGUAUCUGUUUGGUGGAAUUAAAUCUGAAAUUACCAAAUUUGUCUACCUUAAUUUGUCCUAAAAAUAUUGGUAACUAUUCUUUAGGGUUUGGUGCACUCUAUUCGAUACAAUAUACGUCAUUUUAAAUAUGAUGUAUUAAAUUCACUUAAAUUAUAAUACGUGUAAAUAUAUUAAUAUUACGUUGUUUUAAUAAGAUGUAUUGAAUUCACUCAAAUUAUAAUACGUGUAUAUAUAUGAAAUUGUGUAUUUGAUAAACAUGAAAAUUCCUGAAGUCAAUGACUAAUCUAGAUGUGCUUGGAACAAUCUAGCCAACAGUGAUGUAACGGAUUGUGGUUGAAUGUGGCAAGGAAAACCUUGCAUGAGAUGAGUACUUACGUAGGCAAAUACCAUUAAAUGCUGGAUUAUUCUGGUAUAUAAAAUAAGGUGUGCUUAGUCUAAAUUUUUAUUCUAAAAAAAUAAGGUGUUUAGUCUAAGUUUUUAUUCUAAAAAUAUAAGGUGUUUAGUCUAAAUUUUUUUUCUAAAAAAAUAAAGCGUGCAAUUAAAAGAUGUGACCCCCACGUCAUCAUAUAGAUUUAAGAAGGUAGCAGGCCAUCACGUUUCUCCAUCUACAUCUCUCAACACAGGCUUCAUAAAGACUGGCAUAAAUCCAAAGCACCAAAAAAAAUAAACUCAGAUAACGAAUGGGUAAGGGAGGAAAGCCUGAUGGAGGUGAUGGUUUUGAGGAAGCCAGCAGAGAUGGUUGUGAACAAGAGAACAUGGCUGCUUGGCUGCUUGGUGUUAACACCCUCAAAAUCCAACCUUUCAAGCUCCCUAAUCUCGGUACCAAUUUGUUCUGUUUCUGGAUCACUGUUUCUUUAAAGUCAACUUCUUACACUUUCCAGGUCAAAUUAUUAUUUGUGAUCCUUUUUGCCUAAUUGACUUCCUGCGUUCCUUGUUUUCUUGGUAUUUUCUUUAGGACCCCGUGAUGUUUUAAUUCGACUCAAGGCUGUUGGCAUAUGUGGCAGUGAUGUUCACCACUUCAAGGUCACCCCCUCUUUUCCUUCUUAGUUCUUUAUUAUAUUCAUGAUAGAGAAAAGGCCGGGCACAAUGCUCUAAUCAACUAACCUAAUUCACGUCUUCACAGGGAAUUCGAACACAUUGAUUGUUAAACAAUAUAUACUUUAAAUUAAUUGGUAAAUGGCCUGUUUUGAUUGUUGUUGUUUGUUACUAUUUUCAGAACAUGAGAUGUGCAGAUUUUGUGGUGAAAGAGCCAAUGGUAAUCGGGCAUGAGUGUGCUGGGUUCGUAGAGGAAGUUGGGAGUGAGGUGAAGCAUCUGGUGCCUGGUGACCGUGUGGCAGUAGAGCCCGGCAUCAAUUGCAAGCGAUGUGAGCUAUGCAAACAAGGCCGAUAUAAUCUAUGCCCCGAGAUGAAGUUUUUCGGGUCCCCUCCAACUCAUGGUUGCCUGACAAAUCAGGUAUCCACGUAUUUGCAGCAUAUUAUAUGCCAGUUGUAACUAGCACAAGAUGACACGUGGAGCGUUGUAAGCUUGGCAGAAGUGGAACAUUUAGUAUUGGAUAAGGCUGACUAGAGCAUGACUAGACUUUGAGUUUUUGUUUUGUUUUUGGGUUACAAGACUUUGAGUUUAUUUUAAUUGUGACUUCUUUGAAUAUGGGUUAUGUUGAGGAGGUGUGUUGAUAGGUUGAAUUUUCUCUGCUAUUCUGGAUUUUUGUGCAAGAUUUGUGUCCUAGUCUAAAAUGUAUUUAAAUGUGGGAGACAUAAAAAAGAUGCGGGGUCGUUUGUCUGCUUGGUUAGUCAAACAUGGGUUAGUUCAUAGAUCUUUGCCUACCAAACAUCGAUUAUAACUAUUGUCCAAAUGAAUUGGACUGGUCCUCUGAGUUGAAAUAGUACAAAUAACAACACUCACUUUGAGAUACUAUAGUUUUUUUAGUGGGCAAUUCAAAUUUGAAGCAGGUGUUUGAGAUACAUGAUGUUUUCUUAUAUUUUAUUUCACAGGUUGUCCAUCCUGGAGACCUGUGUUUUAAACUACCAAACAAUGUGAGCUUGGAGGAAGGGGCAAUGUGUGAGCCCUUAAGUGUUGGUGUUCAUGCUUGUCGUCGGGCUAAUGUCGGUCCAGAAACAAAUGUUUUGGUCAUGGGAGCAGGACCUAUAGGACUUGUUACACUGUUGGCUGCUCGUGCCUUCGAAGCACCUAGAAUUGUCGUGGCGGAUGUGAAUGACCACCGUUUAUCCGUUGCAAAGGCUCUUGGUGCACAUGAGAUUGUCAAAGUUUCCACAAAUAUUGAGG